ACCUUAGUAGCAAAGUGGUUAAUGCAGGGGACCUAAGAUCCCUUACCAAAAGUUCAAUUCUUUUUUAAGGUU
rnacentral:tRNA from 3 species